rnacentral:rRNA from 1 species
ACUUACCAACCCGAUGCAAACUACGAAUACCGAAGAAUGUUAUCACGGGAGACACACGGCGGGUGCUAACGUCCGUCGUGAAGAGGGAAACAACCCAGACCGCCAGCUAAGGUCCCAAAGUCAUGGUUAAGUGGGAAACGAUGUGGGAAGGCACAGACAGCCAGGAUGUUGGCUUAGAAGCAGCCAUCAUUUAAAGAAAGCGUAAUAGCUCACUGGUCGAGUCGGCCUGCGCGGAAGAUGUAACGGGGCUAAACCAUGCACCGAAGCUGCGGCAGCGACACUAUGUGUUGUUGGGUAGGGGAGCGUUCUGUAAGCCGUUGAAGGUGGCCUGUGAGGGUUGCUGGAGGUAUCAGAAGUGCGAAUGCUGACAUAAGUAACGAUAAAGCGGGUGAAAAGCCCGCUCGCCGGAAGACCAAGGGUUCCUGUCCAACGUUAAUCGGGGCAGGGUGAGUCGACCCCUAAGGCGAGGCCGAAAGGCGUAGUC